UAUCUUAGUGGCGGACGGGUGAGUAACACGUGAGCAACCUGCCUCUGAGAGGGGGAUAGCUUCUGGAAACGGAUGGUAAUACCCUAUAAUAUAAUURAACCGCAUGAUUUGAUUAUCAAAGAUUUAUCACUCAGAGAUGGGCUCGCGUCUGAUUAGAUAGUUGGUGAGGUAACGGCUCACCAAGUCGACGAUCAGUAGCCGGACUGAGAGGUUGAACGGCCACAUUGGGACUGAGACACGGCCCAGACUCCUACGGGAGGCAGCAGUGGGGAAUAUUGCACAAUGGGGGAAACCCUGAUGCAGCGAUGCCGCGUGGAGGAAGAAGGUUUUCGGAUUGUAAACUCCUGUCUUAAAGGACGAUAAUGAC
rnacentral:rRNA from 1 species